rnacentral:rRNA from 1 species
GACGAACGCUGGCGGCGUGCUUAACACAUGCAAGUCGAGCGGAAAGGCCCUGCUUUUGUGGGGUGCUCGAGUGGCGAACGGGUGAGUAACACGUGAGUAACCUGCCCUUGACUUUGGGAUAACUUCAGGAAACUGGGGCUAAUACCGGAUAGGAGCUCCUGCUGCAUGGUGGGGGUUGGAAAGUUUCGGCGGUUGGGGAUGGACUCGCGGCUUAUCAGCUUGUUGGUGGGGUAGUGGCUUACCAAGGCUUUGACGGGUAGCCGGCCUGAGAGGGUGACCGGCCACAUUGGGACUGAGAUACGGCCCAGACUCCUACGGGAGGCAGCAGUGGGGAAUAUUGCACAAUGGGCGGAAGCCUGAUGCAGCAACGCCGCGUGCGGGAUGACGGCCUUCGGGUUGUAAACCGCUUUCGCCUGUGACGAAGCGCGAGUGACGGUAAUGGGUAAAGAAGCACCGGCUAACUACGUG